rnacentral:lncRNA from 1 species
CACUGGACACCGGACUGACCCCUUGCACAGGAUGGCGGCAUCACCCAUUCUCAGAGGAAGACAAUGCCAUGACCCAGAUGGGAGUGCAGAGCAGGUCUGGACUGACAGGACAGUCAUCCAUGACCACAUCAGCCUGACAUUCCCUGAUGAUGGCAACGGGAUGAACUCGGAGCAGCUGCACAAAAUACUAAGUAUUUGGUACCCGAAGCCGAGCACGCAGAUCAUCCUGGGAGGACAAAGAGCCAAAACACAGCUGGUUUCCAAAGGUCUGGCCUCCACUGAGUGUGACACAGACAGGUGCAAAAUCCUGAUUUCCAGCACUUGCUGGAUCCUGAG